CCCCCGUCUCAGCCUUUUAAUAGAUUAAAUUUGAUGAAUUUUCAUUGAGGCCAGAAUAUUUUAUUUCCCGCAGUAUAUUUCGUUAACUCUCAUGAGCGCCGUGGUGCGAGACAGACCCGCGCAUGCCGCGUUUAACGUGUAGCCUAUUUUUCCUGGGUUUGUUUUGGGGAGAAAUACUCCACGAUCUUAAAGACCAGUAGUACCUGGGAAAACAAGAUUAAAAAAAAAAAAAAGAAGAAGAAGAAGGAAUAAACUAGGAAUACUUGAAACGGUAGCCUGGUGACUGCCCUGUCCCGGUCGCUUUGCGGGCUGUGCCGAGGGAAGGAGAACUGCUGGGGGGACGGAGCGGGGACCGAGAGCGCCCAGCCCUGCCCGGCUCCCGGAGCCCCGCGCCGCGGCCGAUCCCGUUCCUCAGGGAAACGGGACUCGGAACAAGGCGCACCUGGGGCCGCUUUUACAUCCGUGACCGUGUCGUUGCUACGUGAACCGAAUUAGUGCGGGUUAGUGUAGGUACGGCCCCAGUGUGCUGCGGGCUCGAGCGGUCCCGAAAGGUGCGUCCUUACAAGGCACCAACCGUGUGUUCGUCCCCGGGAGCCGAGGCGCGGCGGGACAGCAGAACGGAGCAGGAGCCACAGGACUGACAACGGGGCUGUGCCGCCUGUCCCCUUCUGGGUCUCGAUGCGGGAGGCGAGAGCCCUGCCCCGAUGCCUUCAGGCGGCGGCUGCGCUGGCCGAACGGGAGCGGGACUCUCCGAGCCAGGGGCGGACCGGCGCUCCCCGCCGGACACGUUUUCUCGCCAAGAGGAGAGGAAGAAAAACAACCUUUGGGAGAGGAAGGCUGCCGCAUUUUCAAACAAACCGACCCCAGACCUUCCAGGUUGUGCUGCCUGAAGACGUAUGUUGGUCUCAACAUCAUAGCCGCCCUUCUGGAAAAGUCUUACAGGAUUCAGGCAGAGGGAAACCAACACAGAAGUGACUCGGAAAGCAUGAUGGCAAAUGAUUAAUCAAAUCAGAGACAGAAAGGCGGAGGUAAUCAAUGAGUUUUCACUUAUAGUUUACUUGGAUGGACAUCUUUUUCCUUUUUCUUUCCGUAAGUUUAGAAACCACAUGGGGUUUUAUUGGCCAAACAAGCAGCUGCAGGACUUGGUGGGCUGGUGGGAAUUCGUUCAAAAUCAGCUGCAUGUUUCCUGAAGACGAAUUCGGCUUUAGACAAAACCUCGUGCUUGUUCCCGCCCCAGGCACACGGCGCUGGGCGGCGGGCACCGGGCAGGGCUGCGCCCCGCGGGACCCCGCC
rnacentral:lncRNA from 13 species